AGUCGAGAAUCUUCGGCAAUGGGCGAAAGCCUGACCGAGCGAUGCCGCGUGCGGGAUGAAGGCCCUCGGGUUGUAAACCGCUGUCGUAGGGGAGGAAGGCUCCGUGAAGAACGGGGUUUGACCUAUCCUAGGAGGAAGUACGGGCUAAGUUCGUGCCAGCAGCCGCGGUAACACGAACCGUACGAACGUUAUUCGGAAUUACUGGGCUUAAAGGGUUUGUAGGCGGCCAUGUAAGUCAGGUGUGAAAUCCCUCGGCUCAACCGAGGAACGGCGCUUGAUACUGCAUGGCUUGAGGGAGACAGGGGUAAGCGGAACUGAUGGUGGAGCGGUGAAAUGCGUUGAUAUCAUCAGGAACACCGGUGGCGAAAGCGGCUUACUGGGUCUCUUCUGACGCUGAGGAACGAAAGCUAGGGUAGCGAA
rnacentral:rRNA from 1 species